GUCUUAAUAUUUAUUAGGGUAGCUUCAUUAAUAAUGUACAUUGCAUAGUGCCAAACGAGAUCACCACAUCACUUCUAAAGGAUUCCUGGAAGUCUAAGUCACAAGCAUGAGACAACAGCUGCAGGAAUGGGUGGUGAAGGUUGUGAAAACUUUCUGGCUUAAACAGGAAUUUGACCCAAAACAAGAAGUCUUAGGGAAGAUAGCCUAGGGCUUGUCUGGUGGCACAACAAUGGCAUUAAAUGCCCAGCCUCUUUACACUUUUCCGCUCUGCCAUCCUUGGCAUGCAGGCCAUUGUUUGUUGUUUCAUGAGUGAACUAUCAGUGCUGUAGCUCUUCAAGACAGGUAUAGGGCAAAGAUGAGCUCUGAUUCGCAGAGCCCUUCCAUCUAAGCGCUUUCCUAGAAGCCUCAGCAGUAAGUUCAACAUUCAACUCACUGGCUAGAAGUGUGUCAAAUGGCUGCGCCUUGCUUCAAGAGAGUCUGAGAAAAUAACUUUAGCUAGAAUUAAAGUUCCAUUAGAGUGCCUGGGUAGAUAAAGAAGAGUCUGCUACAGAAGGCCAGUAUCAUAGCAAGUUGUUGCUCCAUGACUGGAAACAAAGGAGACUUCACUAUUUACUUCAGAUGUGCAAUUGAUAGAGUACAGCUAAGAUAUGGUAUGUGUUCUACCGUGAAGAGCAAGGUGAGGGAGUGUAGGGUGUAAGAGAUCCUGGUGCAUUAGCUGUUGAGAGGAAGAAUCUCCCCCUGGUCACUGUGUUACUGGGAGGUCCUUGCUCCCCGAGUUCCCAAGAUGGUGGUGGGCCUCUUCCAAGAUGGCCACAGGCCACUUCCAAGGUGGCAAGUCUUGUGUUCUCUGACCUGGGGAGCUCUUGGCCUCACAGAUUCCAAGGAAUGGAAUCUUCGACCAUGUGGUGAGAGUUAUAGCUCUAUUAGAAGCUGUGAGUCAUGGAAGAGAACCAUGGAACCCAGUGACUAGUGUUUAGCUCAAUUAGGACGAACCUGGGCACUUAGCUGUGCAGGAACAAUGGCAAGCCUUUAGCCUGAUCAGGAGCGGCAAGGGGUGCCUCGCUGUAUCAGGAGCACAGUGGACGCCCUGCUGGAUCCAGAGGGAUGGCAGUCAGCUGCUGGUCUGCGACAGCAGCAAACAGCAGUGGUGGACGGCGAGCGAAAGCUCAGCUUGAGCGAUAACAAACACUGACCAGAAGUGUGUGCAGUUGCAAGAUUUAAGAAUGAAAACAGAGCUCCCUUACAAAGGGAGGGGACCCAAAGAGGGUAGCUGUUGCUCGUUCGAAUGCCUAUAGGUUUAUAUCCUGAUCAUUGUCCCUCCUGUUGUGCUCUCAGGCGACAGAUGAUUGGCUAUUUCUUUACCUCCUGUUUUUGCCUAAUUAGCAUUUUAGUGAGCUCUCUUUACUACCUGAUUGGUCGGGUGUAAGCUAAGUUGCAAGCUCCGUGUUUAAAGGUGGAUGCGCUCAUCUUCCCAGCUAGGCUUAGGCAUUCUUAGUCAGCCUAGGAAAUCCAACUAGUCCUGGCUCUCAGUUCCCUCUCUCAACAGGAAAACCCAAGUGCUGUUAGGGAGGUUUGACCACUGCUCUAACUGCUUCCUGCUCAGUUGGGGCAUAGUAGGGGUUGUGCAAUUGAGAUUUCCUCAGGAGGGGUACCUUGUCUCUCAACUAAUUCAGUGGUGGCUACCUCGAAGCCCUUCUGAAAGUGAGAGGGAAAGAAACCAGCUCGCAAAGUCCCCUGUAUUAUCUAUUCUUAAGUGGAAGUCGGGAGCUGUGAAAAUGCACUUCCAACAACCCUUAACUU
rnacentral:lncRNA from 1 species